rnacentral:rRNA from 1 species
AUUGAACGCUGGCGGCAUGCCUUACACAUGCAAGUCGAACGGCAGCGCGGGAGCAAUCCUGGCGGCGAGUGGCGAACGGGUGAGUAAUAUAUCGGAACGUGCCCAGUAGUGGGGGAUAGCCCGGCGAAAGCCGGAUUAAUACCGCAUACGACCUACGGGUGAAAGGGGGGGAUCGCAAGACCUCUCGGUAUUGGAGCGGCCGAUAUCAGGUUAGGUAGUUGGUGGGGUAAAGGCCUACCAAGCCUGCGAUCUGUAGUUGGUCUGAGAGGACGACCAGCCACACUGGGACUGAGACACGGCCCAGACUCCUACGGGAGGCAGCAGUGGGGAAUUUUGGACAAUGGGCGCAAGCCUGAUACAGCAAUGCCGCGUGCAGGAAGAAGGCCUUCGGGUUGUAAACUGCUUUUGUCAGGGAAGAAAUCCUCUAGGCUAAUACCUUGGGGGGAUGACGGUACCUGAAGAAUAAGCACCGGCUAACUACGUGCCAGCCGCCGCCGUAACAC